rnacentral:rRNA from 1 species
AUUGAACGCUGGCUGAAUGCUUUACACAUGCAAGUCGAGCGGCAGCACGGGGGCAACCCUGGUGGCGAGCGGCGAACGGGUGAGUAACACAUCGGAACAUGCCCAGUCGUGGGGGAUAACACUUCGAAAGAAGUGCUAAUACCGCAUACGUCCUGAGGGAGAAAGCGGGGGAUCGCAAGACCUCGCGCGAUUGGAGUGGCCGAUGUCAGAUUAGCUAGUUGGUGGGGUAAAGGCCUACCAAGGCAACGAUCUGUAGCUGGUCUGAGAGGAUGAUCAGCCACACUGGGACUGAGACACGGCCCAGACUCCUACGGGAGGCAGCAGUGGGGAAUUUUGGACAAUGGGGGCAACCCUGAUCCAGCCAUUCCGCGUGAGUGAAGAAGGCCUUCGGGUUGUAAAGCUCUUUCGGCAGGAACGAAACGGUGAGCUCUAACAUAGCUUGCUAAUGACGGUACCUGAAAAAGAAGCACCGGCUAACUACGUG